rnacentral:rRNA from 1 species
CCUACGGGAGGCAGCAGUGAGGAAUAUUGGUCAAUGGCCGGAAGGCUGAACCAGCCAUGCCGCGUGAAGGUCAGUGCCCUAUGGGCGUUAAACUUCUGUUGUGCGGGAGCAAUAAUGGUCACGUGUGGCCAGACGAGAGUACCGUACGAAUAAGCAUCGGCUAACUCCGUGCCAGCAGCCGCGGUAAUAAGGGGGAUGCAAGCGUUAUCCGGAUUUAUUGGGUUUAAAGGGUGCGUAGGCUGUGAGGGAAGUCAGCGGUGAAAUUCCCCCGCUAAACGGGGUGAAGUGCCAUUGAUACUGCCUGGCUGGAAUGCGGAUGCCGUGGGAGGAAUGUGGGGUGUAGCGGUGAAAUGCAUAGAUAUCACACAGAACACCGAUUGCGAAGGCAUCUCACGAAUCCGCGAUUGACGCUGAUGCACGAAAGCGUGGGUAUCAAACAGGAUUAGAUACCCCAGUAGUC